rnacentral:rRNA from 1 species
GUCCACGCCCUAAACGAUGUCAACUAGGUGUUGGGGGAGGAGACUUCCUUAGUACCGUAGCUAACGCGUGAAGUUGACCGCCUGGGGAGUACGGUCGCAAGAUUAAAACUCAAAGGAAUUGACGGGGACCCGCACAAGCGGUGGAUUAUGUGGAUUAAUUCGAUGCAACGCGAAAAACCUUACCUACCCUUGACAUGUCAGAAAGAUUGCAGAGAUGUGAUUGUGCCCGAAAGUGAAUCUGAACACAGGUGCUGCAUGGCUGUCGU